rnacentral:ncRNA from 1 species
UAUGCCUGAACGCCUCUAAGGUCGUAUCCGUGCUGGACUGUAACAAUAAAAAUGGGGCAAUUGCAUUGUAUGGCUUCAAAACCAUUUAAAGUUUAUAAAUUCAUUUAUAAACGAUGGAUACUUGAUGCCAAUGUUAAAUGUAACAUAGCAAAUCAGGAGGAGUGAUAUCACCUGGUGCCGCGCUAGUUAUAAGAAAAAACAUUAUUUAAUACAAUGUCAAUGCCUAGAAUCAAUUGUAAACGACUUUUGUAACAGGCAAGGUGUCGUAAGUAGUUGAGCAGCUGCCAUACUGCGAUCUACUGAAGCUUAUCCUUUGCUUGACGAUUCGA